rfam:Jatropha curcas cultivar GZQX0401 scaffold266_67, whole genome shotgun sequence.
CAAAAAAGAGCUUGUCAAACUAGCCAAGUUGACUGCCUGAAACCCCCAUAUAAGGGUUAUUUAUGAUACUCACAACCCAAAAUGGCUAGGAGCAGGCAAGUCAUCCUUGGCUAUCAAACAAGACUCUUAUUU